rnacentral:pre_miRNA from 14 species
CACUUCGCGGUCUCUAAUUCGCUUGGUGCAGGUCGGGAACCACUACAUCCGCUGUUUUCGUAGAAACCGGCGGUGAAUUGGAUCCCGCCUUGCAUCAACUGAAUCGGAGGCCGCGGUGAAU